CCUACGGGUGGCUGCAGUGGGGGAUAUUGCACAAUGGAGGAAAGUCUGACGGAGCAACGCCGCGUGAGCGAAGAAGGUCUUCGGAUCGUAAAGCUCUGUUGUUAGGGAAGAACAAGUACGGGAGGAAAUGACCGUACCUUGACGGUACCUGACGAGGAAGCCACGGCUAACUACGUGCCAGCAGCCGCGGUAAUACGUAGGUGGCAAGCGUUGUCCGGAAUUAUUGGGCGUAAAGCGCGCGCAGGCGGUCUUUUAAGUCUGAUGUGAAAUCUUGCGGCUCAACCGCAAGCGGUCAUUGGAAACGGUGGGGCUUGAGUGAAGUAGAGGCGGGCGGAAUUCCCGGGGUAGCGGUGAAAUGCGUAGAGAUCGGGAAGAACACCAUUGGCGAGGGCGCCCUGCUGGCUUUAACUGACGCUGAGGCACGAAAGCGUGGGGAGCAAACAGGAUUAGAUACCCUAGUAGUC
rnacentral:rRNA from 1 species